GACGAACGCUGGCGGCGUGCCUAAUACAUGCAAGUCGAACGCAGUGGGGACGGGUGAGUAACACGUGGGUAACCUCCCAUCAGAGGGGAUAACACUUGGAUACAGGUGCUAAACCGAUCCGGAUGGAUGGACCCGGGGGGCAUUAGCGAGUUGGGGAGGUAACGGCCCACCAAGGCCACGAUGCAUAGCCGACCUGAGAGGGUGAUCGGCCCCACUGGGACGGAGACACGGCCCAGACUCCUACGGGAGGCAGCAUGAGGGAAUCUUCUGCAAUGGACGAAAGUCUGACCGAGCAACGCCGCGUGAGUGAAGAAGGUUUUCGGAUCGUAAAACUCUGUUGUUAGAGAAGCGUUAUCUAACCAGAAAGCCACGGCUAACUACGUGCCAGCAGCCGCGGUAAUAC
rnacentral:rRNA from 1 species